rnacentral:lncRNA from 1 species
UACAAAGGCCUUCAAAUUCAGAGAGCAAAGUUCAGAGCAGGUUAAAGUGAACCAUUACCUUGCAGAAUCCUUCACUAGUGUUGGAUAUAUGCUUGGUGCACCAAUGCUAACAUAACCGUCCUUGGGAGCAUUUCCACUGUCAACAGGCAUUGCCUCCCUAGGAGUGUAGCCAAUUUGGGAGACUCCAGUUCUGCCAUUCUUGUAGUGCGAUUUGGAACUGUAGGAAGAGAUUGGGAUGACACCCGACUGUUCAACAAUGCUGGCUUGAGGCACCAUCUUCAGUGCUUUCGUAGUGCUUCUGCUGAGAAUUUGGGGCCAGUUGCUGCUGGGAAAUUUGGGCUACAUGCCAAAAUUGCUGAGGAAUGGGGUUGGGUUGCUGCUGGGCCAUUUGAGCUGGAUACCUCACUUGCUGAGGCUCGACUGUCAGUUCCUUCUGCUGCUGGGGCUCGACUGCCAGUUCCUUCUGCUGCUGGGGAAAUUGAGAUGGAUGCCACACGAGCGGAGGCUGCUGGAGAAUGGCGGCCAGAUGAUUCUCCUGUUGGAGCAUUUUAGCUCGAUACCACAUUUGCUGGGGCAUGGCGGUCUGAUCCUUCUGUUGAGGUUCAGUGGCCGGUUGCUUCUGCUGCACGGGCAUUUGAACUGGAUGCCACACUGGCUGGGGCAUGGCGGUCGGUUGCUUAUGCGUCAGCAUGUGAGCUUGAUGCCACACUUGCUGGGGCACAGUUGUCGGUUGCCUCUGCGGCUGAGCUUCUGCGGCUGGUUGCUUCUGAUGCAGGGGCAUUUGAACUGGAUUCCACACUUGCUGAGGUUGCUGGGACAUGGGGGCCAGUUCCUUCCACCCGAUGGCGGCCGGAUGUUUCUGUUGCGCUUGCAUUUGAGAUUUUGGAGACUUAUAAUUGCCAUAUCCUAGAGACCGAAGUGAUCCUGCAUAGAGCCAUGCUGCAUUAGAAUCCAGUGCAGGAGACCAAUCACCUAGGUACAAAAUAUAAACUGUAAAAUGUCAGCAUUUGAAGGUUAUGGAACUGCGUAGCUGUUAUUUGAAAUGAACUCACCUUCUGAUGUAGAAGACAUUAUCCCUCCAAUUAGUAGGCAACAAAGCCAAGAAACUCUUAAGGAAAAAUAAUGUAUGUCAUAAACAUAGCUACCUGUAACACCUGAAGGACAAGGGAAACAAACUAAAUCAAUACUUAAAAACAUACCUGAAAGCGAUUCCAAUCAUCACAGCCAUUUUGCCCUCAAAACUUCACCAGUAUUCAGAACUAAUGGUAGGCAUACAUCCUACCAGAAUACCCCUUUUACUAUAUUUGCCAGAUGUUUGGUUGCUCCUUUUAAAGGAAUUCCAGACCCUUCUAAUGACGUUGGCUAAUUAAGGACAGCUG